CUCCCCUGCUUGGGAGACCAGCCUGGAAGUCACGAGCUAACUUCAGGGACCUGCACGCUUCCUGCCGCUGCGGCGCUGCAGGGGGAGGGUGGCCUCCACUCAGCUGGCCUUCCCCUGCAGACUGGGCGCAGAGGCCUGGGUGUCCUGGCCUGGGUUUGAGCCCCGCCCCUUCCCCUUCUGGGGUGCGUGUUCCGAGGUUUCUUCAGCCUUGGAGGAGCCAGGGGCCUUGUUACUAUUUACUCUGAGCAACCGGAAGUGCUGCGAGCGCUGCUAGGAGCUCCCAGAAACAAAGAAAAUUUAAAAAUCAACAAGACUGGACUUUGCCAACGCCGAGGGGCCCUCUCAAGGAGGUGCGGCCGCUACGGAAACCCGAGGGGGCGUAGGAACCGCCCGGGUGUGCUGCGGCAGGAGAGGCCAAAGCCCAGGACCCGCCGAGUGCGUCAGCGAGCACCCAGGAGGCCAGGACGAGUUCCAGAAACGCACGCGGGGAAGCUCGUGGGGGCACGACCGGCCACCCUGUGACCAGUGAUGACGAGUGGCUCUUUUCUCUGCCUCCAGGCCCUGGAGAUGGAGGCGCCACAAGGCAGAGACGGCCUGGAUCCCUGAGGGUUCACAUGGCGGACAGUUACCCUGCAGAGUUACCUGGGCUCACGCAGACUUUGCUGGAUGCAAAACAAACUGUUGCUGUGUUGAAACACUUUGAUGUUGGAAUCAUUUGUUACUGCACCACAGCCUAGCCUUGCUAACUGAUGCGUUCUGGCUCAAGGGAGGCCUGGAGACCUUGGACAAGUCCCCUGACUCCUCCAGGCCUCAAUUUCCCCAGGUGUACGAUGAGGCAAGAGGUCUCUUCUCCUCUCACGAGGGCCUGUGCUGCUCGUGCUCCCAAACCCCAAAGGCCUGAGGAAUACCCAUCAGCACUCGGGGCUGCAGGGUGCUGAGCACUCCCACUGGCCGCCGGCCAGACAGCCUCAGGGGCAUCAUGGGAUCCUCCCAGCAGGGAGACACCAUGACCAUCCCCGCUGCCCCAUGGGGAAACAGGCUCAGAGAGGCGAGGUCACUUACCCAGGCGCACCAGCACCUGUGACUCCUGUCUGUUCUGAUGACAGCUGACAUCUGGUAUUUUUACUUAUUUCUUACAAAUGCAAUGUAAAAGAAAGCCCACUGUUAACAACUUGAGAGAAUGUAGAAAAAAACUUUUAAAUUUA